GAGACUCUGUGCGCGUGCAUAUCAAUAAGCGGAGGAAAAGAAACUAACAAGGAUUCCCUUAGUAACGGCGAGUGAAGCGGGAAGAGCUCAAUAUUUGAAAUCUUCAAGGGUUCUACCUUUACGAAUUGUAGUUUAUAAGAAGUGUUUUCUGUUAGUGAGUCGGCUAAAAGUUCUUUGGAAUAGGACAUCAUAGAGGGUGAGAAUCCCGUAUUUGGUACAUUCCUCCUAGCGUUGUGAUACACUUUCAACGAGUCGGAUUGUUUGGGAAUGCAGUCCAAGAUGGGUGGUAAAUUUCAUCUAAAGCUAAAUAUUGGCGAGAGACCGAUAGCGAACAAGUACCGUGAGGGAAAGAUGAAAAGAACUUUGAAAAGAGAGUUAAACAGUACGUGAAAUUGUCAAAAGGGAAGCGUUUGACACCAGUGUUGUUUAGUUCGAAAAUCAAUUACAAUAGUUUUUGAUUUUAAGUAGUUAUGACUUCAUCAGCUUGCUGCCUUUCUUUACAGAAACUUUCUUGAAUGCACUUUUCAGUUAACAAGUCAACAUCAAUUUCUUUUGUUGUAAAAGGGUAUGAGGAAGGUGGCUUUCUUUUCGGAGAAAGUGUUUAUAGCCUUGUGCCUCUGCAAUCGGAGAGAUUGAGGUCUGCAGCGUAGAUCCUUCGGGGUUAGAUACAUUUGUGCUAAGUUAUAGCUUUUCAUAGACAACUUGUUGACUAUGCUUAGUCUUGUAGCUUACUCGCUUACGCUAUUUUACCUACGCUUAGGAUGUUGACGAUCAGCUGAGCGCG
rnacentral:rRNA from 1 species